rnacentral:rRNA from 1 species
AUGGACAACCCUCUGAUCAUUAGGUCGGGGCCUCUGUCGUUGUUGUCACCGUCGUCUUCGUCUUCGCCUCAUUCGUCGCUCAAGAGGUCGAUGGGAUCACACUGCAGUUUUGAUGGCAUGCAUGUUGGUAUACCAUGCCACUUCCCUUGCAUCCUGCCCGCUACCCUGCAACUGACCGCUACCCUGCACAACAUCAACAACUUUGAGCGGCGUUCUUUGAUCUGGGGGAUCAUGGUGGGUGUCAAUAGGCGUUCUAUCCCUGUCCAAAGGACUGAUGCUUUUGUGAAUGUCGAUGGUGCUUUUGUGAAGGAAAAUGGUACGGCUGGGGCUGGGAUGAUCUUGCAGGAUCAUGAAGGUGGUGUCAUCUUCACCGCGACACGGGCGCUAUUUAAUUGUGGCGACCCCUUAGAAGCUGAGAUGGCAGCCAUGGAGGAAGGAUUGCGGCUUUCUCUACAAUGGACGAACCUGCCGCUGAUUGUGGAAACGGAUUGUGCCGAGCUGCUGAAGUUGGUUCAAUCCAAAGACGGUGAUCGAUCGAGGUAUGCAUAUCAGGUUAAUGAGAUCAGACGAAUUCUGGCUCAAGAAAGGAACAUUAGUCUAGCUAAGAUUAGUAGGCACGCGAAUGUGGCGAGUCACACCCUUGCUUGUAUGGGUCGAUCGCAACAGCGCACAACAUGUUGGCUCCGAAACUCCCCUAUGGAGAUAGCUAGCAUUGUUGAUUCUGAAUGUAAUCAUCAUAGCUGA